GAUGAACGCUGGCGGCGUGCCUAAUACAUGCAAGUCGAGCGAACAGACGAGGAGCUUGCUCCUCUGACGUUAGCGGCGGACGGGUGAGUAACACGUGGAUACCCUACCUAUAAGACUGGUAUAACUUCGGGACACCGGAGCUUAUACCGGAUGAUAUAUUGAACCGCAUGGUUCAAUAGUGAAAGACGGUUUUGCUGUCACUUAUAGAUGGAUCCGCGCCGCAUUAGCUAGUUGGUAAGGUAACGGCUUACCAAGGCAACGAUGCGUAGCCGACCUGAGAGGGUGAUAGGCCACACUGGAACUGAGACACGGUCCAGACUCCUACGGGAGGCAGCAGUAGGGAAUCUUCCGCAAUGGGCGAAAGCCUGACGGAGCAACGCCGCGUGAGUGAUGAAGGUCUUCGGAUCGUAAAACUCUGUUAUUAGGGAAGAACAAAUGUGUAAGUAACUAUGCCCGUCUUGACGGUACCUAAUCAGAAAGCCACGGCUAACUACGUG
rnacentral:rRNA from 1 species